UACAGAGGGGGCAAGCGUUGUUCGGAAUUACUGGGCGUAAAGGGCGCGUAGGCGGCCUUCUAAGUCGAACGUGAAAUCCCUGGGCUCAACCCAGGAACUGCGUCCGAUACUGGAGGGCUUGAAUCCGGGAGAGGGAUGUGGAAUUCCAGGUGUAGCGGUGAAAUGCGUAGAUAUCUGGAGGAACACCGGUGGCGAAGGCGGCAUCCUGGACCGGCAUUGACGCUGAGGCGCGAAAGCCAGGGGAGCAAACGGG
rnacentral:rRNA from 1 species